CCUACGGGAGGCAGCAGUGAGGAAUAUUGGUCAAUGGCCGGGAGGCUGAACCAGCCAAGUCGCGUGAGGGAAGACGGCCCUACGGGUUGUAAACCUCUUUUGUCAGGGAGUAAGGUGCAGGUCGGGACCUGCUGUGAGAGUACCUGAAGAAAAAGCAUCGGCUAACUCCGUGCCAGCAGCCGCGGUAAUACGGAGGACGCGAGCGUUAUCCGGAUUUAUUGGGUUAAAAGGGUGCGCAGGGGGGGGUAAAAGUCAGUGGUAAAAUCGCGGGGCUCAACCCUGAAUCGCCAUUGAAACUGUGUGCCUUGAGUGCGCGUAGGGUAGGCGGAAUGCGUGGUGUAGCGGUGAAAUGCAUAGAUAUCACGCAGAACUCCGAUCGCGAAGGCAGCCUACCAGCCCGCAACUGUCGCUCAUGCACGAAAGCGUGGGUAUCGAACAGGAUUAGAUACCCUAGUAGUC
rnacentral:rRNA from 1 species